rnacentral:rRNA from 1 species
AGACGUCUACAUUAGAUACCCGUGUAGUCCCAGCCGUAAACUAUGCGCGUUAGGUGUAUCGGUGACCACGAGUUACCGAGGUGCCGAAGGGAAACCGUGAAACGUGCCGCCUGGGAAGUACGGUCGCAAGGCUGAAACUUAAGGGAAUUGGCGGGGGAGCACCACAACGGGUGGAGCCUGCGGUUUAAUUGGACUCAACGCCGGACAACUCACCGGGAACGACAGCAAUAUGUAGGCCAGGCUGAAGACCUUGCCUGAAUCGCUG